CGGAAAGGCCCUGCUUGCAGGGUACUCGAGUGGCGAACGGGUGAGUAACACGUGGGUGAUCUGCCCUGCACUUCGGGAUAAGCCUGGGAAACUGGGUCUAAUACCGGAUAGGAGCCAUUUUUAGUGUGAUGGUUGGAAAGUUUUUUCGGUGUAGGAUGAGCUCGCGGCCUAUCAGCUUGUUGGUGGGGUAAUGGCCUACCAAGGCGGCGACGGGUAGCCGGCCUGAGAGGGUGGACGGCCACAUUGGGACUGAGAUACGGCCCAGACUCCUACGGGAGGCAGCAGUGGGGAAUAUUGCACAAUGGGCGCAAGCCUGAUGCAGCGACGCCGCGUGGGGGAUGAUGGCCUUCGGGUUGUAAACUCCUUUCGCUAGGGACGAAGCUUUUUGUGACGGUACCUAGAUAAGAAGCACCGGCUAACUACGUGCCAGCAGCCGCGGUAAUACGUAGGGUGCGAGCGUUGUCCGGAAUUACUGGGCGUAAAGGGCUCGUAGGUGGUUUGUCGCGUCGUCUGUGAAAUUCCGGGGCUUAACUCCGGGCGUGCAGGCGAUACGGGCAUAACUUGAGUACUGUAGGGGUAACUGGAAUUCCUGGUGUAGCGGUGAAAUGCGCAGAUAUCAGGAGGAACACCGAUGGCGAAGGCAGGUUACUGGGCAGUU
rnacentral:rRNA from 1 species